rnacentral:rRNA from 1 species
GGCGGAUUAUCAAGUCUCUUGUGAAAUCUAAUGGCUUAACCCAUUAAACUGCUUGGGAAACUGAUAGUCUAGAGUGAGGGAGAGGCAGAUGGAAUUGGUGGUGUAGGGGUAAAAUCCGUAGAUAUCACCAAGAAUACCCAUUGCGAAGGCGAUCUGCUGGAACUCAACUGACGCUAAGGCGCGAAAGCGUGGGGAGCAAACAGGAUUAGAUACCCUGGUAGUCCACGCCCUAAACGAUGUACACUAGUUGUUGGGAUGCUAGUCAUCUCAGUAAUGCAGCUAACGCAUUAAGUGUACCGCCUGGGGAGUACGGUCGCAAGAUUAAAACUCAAAGGAAUAGACGGGGACCCGCACAAGCGGUGGAGCAUGUGGUUUAAUUCGAAGAUACGCGAAGAACCUUACCUGGGCUUGAUAUCCUAAGAACCUUAUAGAGAUAUGAGGGUGCUAGCUUGCUAGAACUUAGAGACAGGUGCUGCACGGCUGUCGUCAGCUCGUGUCGUGAGAUGUUGGGUUAAGUCCCGCAACGAGCGCAACCCACGUAUUUAGUUGCUAACGGUUCGGCCGAGCACUCUAAAUAGACUGCCUUCGUAAGGAGGAGGAAGGUGUGGACGACGUCAAGUCAUCAUGGCCCUUAUGCCCAGGGCGACACACGUGCUACAAUGGCAUAUACAAUGAGACGCAAUACCGCGAGGUGGAGCAAAUCUAUAAAAUAUGUCCCAGUUCGGAUUGUUCUCUGCAACUCGAGAGCAUGAAGCCGGAAUCGCUAGUAAUCGUAGAUCAGCCAUGCUACGGUGAAUACGUUCCCGGGUCUUGUACUCACCGCCCGUCACACCAUGGGAGUUGAUUUCACUCGAAGCCGGAAUACUAAACUAG